UGUGCUCCCACAGGAUUGAAGUACCUCAGCAGAACAAUUCUCCAUACUGGUUCGGCCGCGUGAAUAUCUCUAGCUAUUUCUUCAAGAAAGAGCUGCACAAAAGAAAGUCUCGUGUCCAGGGAAAAAUUGAUUCUAACGGUGUUGUAUCUGCACUUCUUGGAAAGGAAUUAUAUGUGGGACUCGAGUGUCUUCUUUCUGCAAAUUUGGAUCAUAAGAACAAGAAGGAUUACAAGCUUGGUUUGAGCUUAGCAUAUGGCUCACCAGUCACCACUCUCUUCGUGAAAUAGUUACUAACUCUUUCUAAGGAAUAUUUAUUUGUCAACUCUUUGCUUUAGUUGUAUAUAUUUAUAUUUUUUAACUAGACUAAUAUAAGUAGAUCAUGCGUACGAGUGAUUAUGUUAUAUUAUAGAAAUUUGAUUA